rnacentral:rRNA from 1 species
AGUGAACGCUGGCGGUAGGCCUAACACAUGCAAGUCGAACGGCAGCACAGUAAGAGCUUGCUCUUACGGGUGGCGAGUGGCGGACGGGUGAGGAAUACAUCGGAAUCUACUUUUUCGUGGGGGAUAACGUAGGGAAACUUACGCUAAUACCGCAUACGACCUACGGGUGAAAGCAGGGGAUCUUCGGACCUUGCGCGAUUGAAUGAGCCGAUGUCGGAUUAGCUAGUUGGCGGGGUAAAGGCCCACCAAGGCGACGAUCCGUAGCUGGUCUGAGAGGAUGAUCAGCCACACUGGAACUGAGACACGGUCCAGACUCCUACGGGAGGCAGCAGUGGGGAAUAUUGGACAAUGGGCGCAAGCCUGAUCCAGCCAUACCGCGUGGGUGAAGAAGGCCUUCGGGUUGUAAAGCCCUUUUGUUGGGAAAGAAAGGCAGCAGGUUAAUACCCCGCUGUUCGGACGGGACCCAAAGAAUAAACACCGGCUAACUUCGU